AUUGAACGCUGGCGGCAGACUUAGCACAUGCAAGUCGAGCGGGGGAAGGCAGCUUGCUACCGGACCUAGCGGCGGACGGGUGAGUAAUGCUUAGGAAUCUGCCUAUUAGUUGGGGACAACAUCUCGCAAGGGAUGCUAAUACCGCAUACGUCCUACGGGAGAAAGCAUGGGAUCUGCGGACCCUGCGCUAAUAGAGGAGCCUAAGUCGGAUGAGCUAGUGGGUGGGGUAAAGGCCUACCAAGGCGACGAUCUGUAGCGGGUCUGAGAGGAUGAUCCGCCACACUGGGACUGAGACACGGCCCAGACUCCUACGGGAGGCAGCAGUGGGGAAUAUUGGAAAAUGGGGGGAACCCUGAUCCAGCCAUGCCGCGUGUGUGAAGAAGGCCUUAUGGUUGUAAAGCACUUUAAGCGAGGAGGAGGCUACUUUAGUUAAUACCUAGAGAUAGUGGACGUUACUCGCAGAAUAAGCACCGGCUAACUCUGUGCCAGCCGCCGCGGUAA
rnacentral:rRNA from 1 species